AUAACACAAAAUCUAAUUUGGUCUGUGAACCCUUUGAAAACCUUGUAAUCACAGCGUCCUCGUCAACAUCAAUGUCCCUGUCAUAGACAAAUAAAGAGAAGACUGACGACUGCGUGCAGUCGUUUGAAAUGUUGAUGCUAGCGACCCGAGGGACAGGGUUAGGAACUAAUGUAUCGCUAUUUCACACAAAAACAUAUUUCAUCCUUAUCUACUGUAUCUAGUAUCUACUGAUGAAAUGUUUUCGGCGUAAAUUCCAACCUCUCUUUUGUGUUUCAUUUCAGUUCUCUCCUGAUUCUUAUUUUCUUGCAGGUACAAGUUUGUUAAUAAUAAUAACAAUCUUUAUUUCAGAAGGUUCUCAUUUACAAAAAAAUAACAAAUGAAACAAUGUCAAAAACUCUUUACAUAAAAAAAUCCUAAAUUUUAGAGGGUUCCAGUUGAAAUAAAUGAUCAUGUAGGUUUCAAAAGGCUUACGUUGGAGUUCUGCCAAAGAAUUGAAAAUUCCAAUUCUCAAUCAAUCCUUCGAUUUCCUGGAUAUUUGUCAGUAAUUACAAAAAUAAUUAUUUUAUCUUCAAAUGAAAUGUUUCCUUCUUUAAUAUUUAAGUGGUACAAUACGAUAUAUAUAAUUUGAUUCAAUUAUUUCAUUAAUUUCUGUUCACAAAUAUCAAUUUGUAUAAUUAUGUGCAAUAAAAAGUAUGUCAAAA